UGAACGCCGGCCGCAGCCCUAACACAUGCAAGGGGAGCGGGUGACGGCUUGCUUGCUCCUUGAUUCAGCGGCGGACGGGUGAGUAAUGUCUAGGAAUCUGCCUGAUGGAGGGGGAUAACUACUGGAAAGGAUAGCUAAUACCGCAUAACGUCCUACGGAACAAAGCAGGGGACCUUCGGGCCUCAUGCCAUCAGAUGAGCCCAGAUGGGAUUAGCUAGUAGGUGAGGUAAUGGCUCACCAAGGCGACGAUCCCUAACUGGUCUGAGAGGAUGAUCAGUCACACUGGAACUGAGACACGGUCCAGACUCCUACGGGAGGCAGCAGUGGGGAAUAUUGCACAAUGGGCGCAAGCCUGAUCCAGCCAUGCCGCGUGUAUGAAGAAGGUCUUCGGGUUGUAAAGCACUUUCAGCGGGGAGGAAGGUCAGUAAGUUAAAACCACAGCAAUUGACGUUACCCGCAGAAGAAGCACCGGCUAACUCCGUGCCAGCAGCCGCGGUAAUACAGAGGGUGCAAGCGUUAAUCGGAAUUACUGGGCGUAAAGCGCACGCAGGCGGUUCGUCAAGUCGGAUGUGAAAUCCCCGGGCUCAACCCGGGAACUGCAUCCAAAACUGGCAAGCUAGAGUACGGUAGAGGGGGGUGGAAUUUCAGGUGUAGCGGUGAAAUGCGUAGAGAUCUGGAGGAAUACCGGUGGCGAAGGCGGCCCCCUGGACAAAGACUGACGCUCAGGUGCGAAAGCGUGGGGAGCAAACAGGAUUAGAUACCCUGGUAGUCCACGCCGUAAACGAUGUCGACUUGGAGGUUGUGCCCUUGAGGCGUGGCUUCCGGAGCUAACGCGUUAAGUCGACCGCCUGGGGAGUACGGCCGCAAGGUUAAAACUCAAAUGAAUUGACGGGGGCCCGCACAAGCGGUGGAGCAUGUGGUUUAAUUCGAUGCAACGCGAAGAACCUUACCUGGUCUUGACAUCCACAGAACUUUCCAGAGAUGGAUUGGUGCCUUCGGGAACUGUGACACAGGUGCUGCAUGGCUGUCGUCAGCUCGUGUUGUGAAAUGUUGGGUUAAGUCCCGCAACGAGCGCAACCCUUAUCCUUUGUUGCCAGCGGUUCGGGCGGGAACUCAUAGGAAACUGGCAGUGAUAAACUGGAAGAAGGUGGGGAUGACGUCCAGUCAUCCUGGCCCUUACCACCAUGGCUACACACCUGCUACAAUGGCAUAUACCAAGAGAAGCGACCUCGCGAGAGCAAGCGGACCUCAUAAAGUAUGUCGUAGUCCGGACUGGAGUCUGCAACUCCACUCGACGAAAUCCGAAUCGCUAGUAAUCGUGGAUCAGAAUGCCACGGUGAAUACACUUCCCCGGGCCUUGGUACACACCCGGCCGUCACACCAUGGGGAGAUGUGGUUGCAAACGAAGUAUAGUAUGCGUCAACCUUCCGGAGAGGCGCUUACACCUUUGUGAAUUCUUGACUGGGUGA
rnacentral:rRNA from 1 species